rnacentral:misc_RNA from 1 species
GAUGAAGAACGCAGCGAAAUGCGAUAAGUAGUGUGAAUUGCAGAAUUCAGUGAAUCAUCGAAUCUUUGAACGCACAUUGCGCCCCUUGGUAUUCCAUGGGGCAUGCCUGUUCGAGCGUCAUUUGUACCUUCAAGCUUUGCUUGGUGUUGGGUGUUUGUCUCGCCUUUGCGUGUAGACUCGCCUUAAAAUAAUUGGCAGCCGGCGUAUUGAUUUCGGAGCGCAGUACAUCUCGCGCUUUGCACUCAUAACGACAGCGUCCAAAAGUACAUUUUACACUCUUUACCUCGGAUCAGGUAGGGAUACCCGCUGAACUUAAGCAUAUCAAUAAGCGGAGGA